rnacentral:rRNA from 13 species
AUAUUCGUGAGGUAAAGCAAUUUUUUUACAAGGGUUGUUUUAUGACAUUACUGAGUAAAUUAAAACUUUGAAUUCAUGUAAUAUUUGGUAAACAGUUGGACAAUUAGCUAAAAAGUUGAUUUGUCAAGAGAGUAACAACUCAAAAAUGUCAUUUAAGGUUUUGAAUUUUCAACUAAGUAAAAAAGAUUAUCCUAAUAUCAAAACUCUCUCCUUGUUAGCUUAGAAACAGCUAUCAAUUAAAGAAAACGUAACAGUUCAAAGAAUAAAUUGUAGGAGGGUAUCUAAAAUGUAAGAAAAUUCCGUUAAACCGAAACAACAUAAUCGAUAAGAUUGGUAGCGGAGCAAUUUGUAUUUAUAAAAUAUUUUUGUGAAAAAAUUGUAAUAAAUCAAAAAGAAAAUGUUAGCAUGAGUAACGAUAAAAAGAAUACAAUUUCUUUCGCCCAAAAUCAAAGGUUUUAUUCACGUGAAAAUGUUUUUCGUGGUUUUACACAGCUUCUAAAUCAUAGGCGAAAGCUGAAGAUGAUGAAUUAGUCUAUUUAAAUGUUCGGUAAUAACAAAGACUGGAAGAUGCAAUCUAAAAUAUAUCUGGGUUAAUUUUUUGUGUUGAACAGUUUUUCUAGAAAAGUUAUCGAAUAGAAACGACAAAGCUGUCCUUAAACCGAAACAGGUUGAUAAAUAAAACUAUAUUAAGGCGUAAAAAGCAAUAACAAAUAUGGAACUCGGCAAAUUAUUCCCGAAACUUCGGAAACGGAAAACAUUUUUAUAAAAUAAAUUUGUUAGCAUAAAAAUAGAAUUCGCAACAGUUUAUUAAAAACCUAGAACUAUGCAAAUUUAUAAAAACGUAUAUGGUUUGACUAGUGCCCAAUGCUUUAAGACCUAAAAAAAGUUGUUUUUAGCUUCUUUUACAAGGAAAAGUCAAUGGCGGUCUUAUUUCUGAGGAUCAAAAUGUAGCGAAAUUCCUUGUCUGAUAAAUACAGUCCUGCAUGAAUCUAGUAAUGACGCAUUCGCUGUCAUGUUUGUUAAUUUUGUGAAAUUGAAUUUUGAGUGAAGAUGCUCAAAUGUUUUAUAAAGACGAAAAGACCCCGUGCAUUUUUACUGACUUUAAUAAUUGCGACACUUUAGUAAUCAAGUUUAGAAAAAACAGCAGCUUUUAAUGUUCUAUUCAAGGAUUUGAAAGAACGAAGCGUCAGUGAAAUACUGUUCUAAUUAUUAGUUGUCGCUUAAUUUCUCUGAAAGACAGUUAUUAACAGUUUGUUUUCUUGGGACGAGAUUCUUUAAAAUAGUAUCAAAGAAGUGCAAAGGUAAAAGCAAAGGAAAUAUUUCCUAUUUGAGCGUAAAAGUAUAUUUUUGCUUAACUGCAAAACGGAUAAGUUGAGCAGUAACGAAAGUUGGCUUUAGUGAACCAAUUAAACCGAAUGAAAGGGUUAUUGACCAACAGAUAAAAAAUACGCCGGGGAUAACAGAAUAAUGAAAACUAAGCGACCAUAGCGAUGUUUUUGUUUGUCACCUCGAUGUCGGCUUGUCACAACCUGGGAGUGUAGCCUUUCCCAAAGGUUUAACUGUUCGUUAAAUAAAGUGAUACACGAGCUGGGUUUAAAACGAUGAAAAUCAGUUUGGUUUCUAUCUUAUAAAACUAAAAACUUAAAGUUCUCUGAUUCUUGUAUGAGAAGACCGAAAAGGUAAAGCCAAUGGUUUUAAAUAGGCUUCCCAAAGCCGUUUAAUAGCUAAGCUUUAAGCGUUAAAGAAUGAUAGCAUUUAUUUCUGAAACGUCACUUGACUAAUGUUUACGAAAAAACUUUUUAGGAAUUUGUUGAAUUUUACAACAUCGUUCGGCAAUGAGUAAAUGAUUGUGA